ACUCCUACGGGAGGCAGCAGUGGGGAAUAUUGCACAAUGGGCGCAAGCCUGAUGCAGCCAUGCCGCGUGUAUGAAGAAGGCCUUCGGGUUGUAAAGUACUUUCUAGCAGUGAGGAAGGCGGAGUCGUUAAUAGCGGCCUCGUUUGACGUUAGCUGCAGAAGAAGCACCGGCUAACUCCGUGCCAGCAGCCGCGGUAAUACGGAGGGUGCGAGCGUUAAUCGGAAUUACUGGGCGUAAAGCGCAUGCAGGUGGUUUGUUAAGUCAGAUGUGAAAGCCCGGGGCUCAACCUCGGAAUUGCAUUUGAAACUGGCAGACUAGAGUACUGUAGAGGGGGGUAGAAUUUCAGGUGUAGACGGUG
rnacentral:rRNA from 1 species